GACUACGGCGGCCUAAUACAUGCAAGUCGAACGGUAGAUUACUUUCGGGUAAUUGAGAGUGGCGCACGGGUGCGUAACGCGUAUGCAACCUACCCUAUACAGGGGGAUAGCCCGGAGAAAUCUGGAUUAAUACCCCAUAGCACUAUGUUGAGGCAUUUCGAUAUAGUUAAAGAUUCAUCGGUAUNNGAUGGGCAUGCGUCUGAUUAGCUAGUUGGCGGUGUAACGGACCACCAAGGCGACGAUCAGUAGGGGUUCUGAGAGGAAGGUCCCCCACACUGGCACUGAGAUACGGGCCAGACUCCUACGGGAGGCAGCAGUAGGGAAUAUUGGGCAAUGGACGAGAGUCUGACCCAGCCAUGCCGCGUGCAGGAAGACGGCGUUCUGCGUUGUAAACUGCUUUUAUGCUGGGAAGAAAAGGCCCAUGCGUGGGACAUUGCCGNACCAGAGAAUAAGC
rnacentral:rRNA from 1 species